rnacentral:rRNA from 1 species
ACACCCGAAGCCGGUGGCCUAACCCUUGUGGAGGGAGCCGUCGAAGGUGGGAUCGGCGAUUGGGACGAAGUCGUAACAAGGUAGCCGUACCGGAAGGUGCGGCUGGAUCACCUCCUUUCUAAGGAG